GGGGUGAUAGCUCAGUUGGGAGAGCGCACGACUGAAGUUAACACUUUAGUCACAUAAUCGUGAGGUCGCUGGUUCAAUCCCGGCUCAUCCCA